rnacentral:ribozyme from 14 species
AAUAUAUAUACUAUACCCGAGAGAGACAACGACGAAAGAAGAAGAACGAGGAGAGAGAAAAACGAGAGAGUGUUUCGAUCUCUUCUGUUUUUUUUCUGUAAAACCGAUUCUCUCUCUUCUGUCUUCUUCUUUUUUCUAAAGUGUGCGUUU